rnacentral:tRNA from 1 species
GCGCCUGUAGCUCAGCUGGUAGAGCAUCCGACUUUUAAUCGGACGGUCAGGGGUUCGAGUCCCCUCGGGCGUACCA